GAGUUUGAUCCUGGCUCAGGACGAACGCUGGCGGCGUGCCUAAUACAUGCAAGUCGAGCGAGCGGAACUAACAGAUUUACUUCGGUAAUGACGUUAGGAAAGCGAGCGGCGGAUGGGUGAGUAACACGUGGGGAACCUGCCCCAUAGUCUGGGAUACCACUUGGAAACAGGUGCUAAUACCGGAUAAGAAAGCAGACCGCAUGAUCAGCUUUUAAAAGGCGGCGUAAGCUGUCGCUAUGGGAUGGCCCCGCGGUGCAUUAGCUAGUUGGUAAGGUAAAGGCUUACCAAGGCGAUGAUGCAUAGCCGAGUUGAGAGACUGAUCGGCCACAUUGUGACUGAGACACGGCCCAAACUCCUACGGGAGGCAGCAGUAGGGAAUCUUCCACAAUGGACGCAAGUCUGAUGGAGCAACGCCGCGUGAGUGAAGAAGGUUUUCGGAUCGUAAAGCUCUGUUGUUGGUGAAGAAGGAUAGAGGUAGUAACUGGCCUUUAUUUGACGGUAAUCAACCAGAAAGUCACGGCUAACUACGUGCCAGCAGCCGCGGUAAUACGUAGGUGGCAAGCGUUGUCCGGAUUUAUUGGGCGUAAAGCGAGCGCAGGCGGAAGAAUAAGUCUAAUGUGAAAGCCCUCGGCUUAACCGAGGAAGUGCAUCGGAAACUGUUUUUCUUGAGUGCAGAAGAGGAGAGUGGAACUCCAUGUGUAGCGGUGAAAUGCGUAGA
rnacentral:rRNA from 1 species